rnacentral:rRNA from 1 species
AAUCCUGGCUCAGGAUGAACGCUAGCUACAGGCUUAACACAUGCAAGUCGAGCGGUAGCACAGAGAGCUUGCUCUCGGGUGACGAGCGGCGGACGGGUGAGUAAUGUCUGGGAAACUGCCUGAUGGAGGGGGAUAACUACUGGAAACGGUAGCUAAUACCGCAUAAUGUCGCAAGACCAAAGUGGGGGGACCUUCGGGCCUCAUGCCAUCAGAUGUGCCCAGAUGGGAUUAG